rnacentral:lncRNA from 12 species
AUUUUAUGGUUUCAAACACCCUUGGAUAGUUUUGGAUGGUCCAGAGCCUGGAGUUUGCACUGGAGAUUACGUAAGGUGAGAUCACUGCUGGGCUCAGAACAUGCAAAAUGGAAACAACUGCAGUUUAAACCGAACAUUUUUCUGCCUGUCCCAAGGAGAUUUCACAGGCAUCUGUCACCCCAGCCAAGCUGAAACCUGACCCUGCUCUGUCAGACUGGGGGGCUGACCGAAACAGUGGGGCCUGGCUGGAGUCUGCUGGAAGGUUGUUUGGUCCUGCUGGCUGCAGGGAUGGAGAAAGUUCAGCAGAGAGCAUUCUGCUCCCUUUGCUGCUCCUGUUUCCUAGGAAGCAACAAAGCCAGAGCUCUUGUGGUGCUGAAGGAGUCCUGCCUCUCUCUCCUGAUGUAUACCCUCACAGCAAAGACCUUGAAACCUUUCUGUUCUGGAGCUUUAAUUCCUGUUUAAUCAAUAGGUCUGUAUUCUGAGAAUCAAAUCCCUGUGACAGCUCUCUUUAAUUGAGCUAAACUGCCU